AAAACGGAACUAGAUUCAACGGCCGCNNUAUCCUAACCGUGCGAAGGUAGCGUAAUCAUUUGUUCUUUAAUUGANGAAUUAACGGCCCCACGAGGACUAUACUGUCUCCUUUUUCUGAUCAAUGAAACUGAUCUCCUCGUGAAGAAGCGAGGAAUAUAUAAGACGAGAAGACCCUAUGGAGCUUUAAACAACAGGNAUAUUUGCUUCUGAAAACUAAACAAAGCACUUUACUCUUAAGUUUUANGUUGGGGUGACCACGGAGAAAAAAUCAACCUCCACGUUGUAACANCUUAAAGCAUCANCACACUGACCUCAUUGACCCAAUAAUUUGAUCAACGAACCAAGUUACCCUAGGGAUAACAGCGCAAUCUACUUUAGAGCUCAUAUCGACAAGUANGUUACGACCUCAUGUUGGAUCAGGGUAUCCCCUAUG
rnacentral:rRNA from 1 species